CAAUAGCGUAUAUUAAAGUUGUUGCAGUUAAAAAGCUCGUAGUCGGAUUUUGGCAUCACGCCGAACUGUCUGCCGAUUGGUAAGUACGGUUUGGCGGGUGCUUCCUUCCGGAGGCUCGUUCCCUUCUUCAUUGAAGGGUUCGUUGGUUCCGGGUCUUUUACUUUGAGAAAAUUAGAGUGUUCAAAGCAGGCCUAUGCUCUGAAUAGGUUAGCAUGGAAUAAUAGAAUAGGACUUUGGUUCUAUUUUGUUGGUUUCUAGGACCGAAGUAAUGAUUAAUAGGGAUAGUGGGGGCAUUAGUAUUUAAUUGUCAGAGGUGAAAUUCUUGGAUUUAUGAAAGACUAACUACUGCGAAAGCAUUUGCCAAGGAUGUUUUCAUUAAUCAAGAACGAAAGUUAGGGGAUCGAAGACGAUCAGAUACCA
rnacentral:rRNA from 1 species